CGGCCAAAAUCGCCAACUUGUAUGAUUAUACAUUUUUGAGUCCGCAUCCACCAGGGCCAACAAGAUUAUUGAAAAUGUUUUUUUAUAAUUAAAAAACUGGCUGCAUGAUUUUUUGGGUGCUUGAAUUUGAAUGUGCUUCCCGUCGAUGGCCCCAAUGCAAUUUGGAAACUGCCAUCUUCUCCAAAAGCGCUCUGCGAUAGCUGUCCAUGAUUCCUCCGUUGGUUUCGGCAUUUGGGUCUCCAUCAUGUGAUCGACAACUGCCCUACAGGUCAUGUGAACGGAGUCUGCCACUGUUUUUCUGCCCAGCCUGUAGGCAAGAGCCAGACUCCUGAAAGACUCUCCGGUGGCAAGGAAUCUUUGUGAAGUGCCAAGGUCGCUGGAGGACCUAAGGGACCAAUUUUCCAAAAACAAAACAAAAGGAGUGGAAAUACACCCAAGCCCUGUCUUUUCUUAUUCCCCACCUUCAACCCAGGAGCUCUAGAAGCAACCUAGACCAAGUUGAAGAUUGGGAGGCAUUGGACCUGAGCCAUGGAGAGGAUGUGCGGGAGGAGAAUGACCAUCAACCAGAUCAGCAUUCUCAACCUGGUUCUUCAACCAACAGGCCCUACAGCAGACCUGCUGCACGAAAGAGGGCCUCAGCACCUUUGGAGUCUUUGGAGGAUAGGCUGCUGGCUAUGGUCCAGGAGCCUCCACAGCACAUGCACCAUCGUGUGCCACAGGAGGAGGAUGAGAUGUUACAUUUUGCCCUCAGUCUGGUGCCCUUGCUGAACAAAUUAAGUGGCUGGGGUAAGCUGAGGGCAAAGAUUGCUCUUUUAGAAGGGCUCCAGGGUGUCCAUGAUCUGGACCAAGGGCACCAGCAGGCACAGAUGCAGGGCCCUGGUCUAAUUAGGCCAUGGGAUCAGACAUCCCAGCCAUCCCACCAGAGCCACCAGCCAUCCCACCAGAGCCGCCAGCCAUCCCACCAGAGCCGCCAACCCCAACUAUUAUAUG